UAGCUAACGCUACCUAACACUUUAUGUCGCGUUUGUUUAUUCCGCGCAGCUGAAAUAAAUUGACCUAAAAUACGCUAGCUUAACUGCUUCGUGGCUCAUAACUUCAUAUUAAAUGGACAUGAGAGUGCUACAUGGAUGAAAGAGAAGGAAUGGUGUCGAUCUUCUCAACUAGCGUUAGUUAGUUAGCUAGAUAACUAGCUAAUCAGCUAGCUAACCUAACUCUCGGCAGCUAACUAACGCUAAGCUAAUAUAUUAGCGUAUUACCAAAAAUGUCGAGUUCUUCCUAAAAUAAAUAGCUAACGUUAGCUAUAGAGUUUUAGAAUAUCCCAUCUUUUCUGUUGACUGUCCAAACAAGAGGACAGUGUUGCUCUAAAAACACCAGACUCUGCAGCCAUGUUGGGAUCAACAGCUCUCAAUUCCCUGGGCCUUGCUGUUAACUCUCAUCCUGCUUCCAGGACGGAAUCAUUUUUUCAUCGGGAUCUUGGUUAAAAAAGCCAACAGUGACAAACUCCACACUCAGAGGACCGAGGCUGACCGGGGAGCGAACACUGGACCUUUUUGCUGUGAGGCAACAGUGCUCUCCACCCAGUGAGUUUGCUAUCUUGUACCACCGUUCAACCCAACCAUCUCCAUAAGAUUUCUUUGUGGUUAAAGAACGUAGCACUUCCAGGACUGAAAAUGAUAUUUAGCAUAACUCAUGCAACAGUUGCUUUUCCUCCUAAAUGUAUCAGGCCAAACCAUUUAGUAGUAUAUGAAUGUCAUUUUUAGGAGACAGCUUUGUGUCAGUUCUGCCUUUUUCUAUACAUACCUGAUUGAUUCCAAACAAGGUCAGCACAAAUGACAAUUUAGUAAUUUGAAGAAGAAAAAAACACCCGUUAGGAAAACAAUUGUUUUUUUCAAUCCCACCUCCAUGGUCAACGUCUAGUCUUUUUUUUUUUUAUCACUUUGGGGUAAGAUCGUGGUCAUUGAUAAAAGAGAACAAAGUGGACUGUAGGGAGGAGACGGGAAGGUUGGAUGCUGGAAUGUAGUCAAUGAACGACAACAACACAGGCAAACUGCACAAGCAUCGUUAAAUAGUCGUCGUGUGAUUAAAAUCGCCACCGUAGUCCCAUGUCACAGUCACAUGUCACAGUCACAUGUUACAGUCACAUGUUUAAAAUGAGCACCGUGCGGCUGCAUUGCGGCGUUAAAUAGAACUCUCAUAUGUUGAUUUGGGGGUCAUUGGCAAUCAACCUAUUUUUUGUUAGUUAGUUUUUUUGUUUAUUUAUUUUUGAUUUAAAUGAAUGAAACCCUGCAAACUAUUCACAGACGUACAUAUGCUUUAACUAUUGAUAACUUUCAAAUCCAUAACUUAUUAGGACCAUACAUCGCUUGUGUCUGUGUCAGUACAUGAUAAUCUCAAUUUCUCUCACCAGGGCCCACCUUCUCCUCCACACACUGUCUUGUCAGCUGCUCAUAUUGUUUGCCUUCUUCUAAAAUAUUAGAAACACCCAAACCAAUCAGAAAACACACAAAAGGACUGCAUACAUUGGUGUACCUCCAUUAUUUCUGAGACCAGGAAAUGCAGAAGGCGAGUCUCAUCCGGAUAUUCCGUCCCAUAGUCGAGCGAUCGUUUCAACCCCGUGAAAUUUGUUCAUGUUUGGUGUGCUUGACAAAGUGCGGUGUGUGCACCUGUAGCAAACACUGGUUGUUUCAAGAGUUUGAACUAACAACCGGUGUUUUAGUUUUCCGUAGAGGACAGUGGACCCUACCUUGCACCCGGCGCGUCUCUUUGCAAUUUUAAGAUCAACGCAGUUGUUAAUUUCCCGUCCUGCGCCCAAGUCGUUUAAAUAGUAAAUACACAUCUGUGUGCCCAUGGGCGUGCUGGUCUUACAGGGAGGUGUGUUCAGAUGCAUUCUUGGUGUAUUGCUAUCUUGAGGCAGAGGGAAGUGAUUGCGCCAUUGACCAAAAAAACCCCGGUCGGAAGUCAAUAGCGCAGCAUUUCAUUAUUUUAACAGCGCAUCAGUAAAAUGCGCCUAGGCUUAUGAACAGCGCUCGCACACUAUACUUGUUACACACACACACACAAGGAAGCGCAGCAGCAAAAACACAAAAAGAUUACAUAUAAAAAUAUGGCUAUGCAAAUCCGCCAUCAUAACAGCAAUGCGCCAAGGUACAAACGCAUCUGGCUUUGAAAGGGAAUGGGAGAUGACACUCUGAUUGAUUUAUUACAUUUUACGCCCCAAAACACACCUAUGAUUAAUUGAGACUCUAAGUACAACCUUUUUGAAUCAUGCGGCCAACGCAUGGACCCUUUUCUCUGCCGUUAAACUAGCAAAAGUGGAUUUGGACACGCCCUAAGUCACCGCCGUGCACUCAUUUAAAUGGGCCCAGUGUGUCUGAGGUCACAAGCAGUAAUUUCUUGUACUUUACUUUUGUGAUAAAACCUUCUUGCAUAUGCAAAAUCCCUGAGUGUAUUGAAUUGAGCCAGUGUGUUUAAUUGCUUAGGAAUGUAAAAUAAUUUUUUCUUCUUUCAGAAGUUCCAUAUUCUCAUUUAAAAAAUUUCAUUUGCUAAAUGAGCCGACUCUAAACCAUUGUUUAUUGAUGUUCUUGUCAGCUUCCACAUGCUUGGCAGUGUGCAGAUACCUUUUAUUUUUCUGGCGGUUAAGGUAAAGUUUUUACAACAGGUUACUUAAAUGCAACAUUCUUCAACACCAGAAGAAGUUUACCUGAUGAACAAAUUAAACAUUUGUGUGACUAUAAAGCCUUCUGAAACACUUACAAUACAUUUCACAAACCUUAAAGGAAGCUGUUCAGUACAUAUCUGAAGUUCUACCUAAAGUAAAAAAUAUUUGGCACACAGCUGUUUUUGCUAAUGUGUACGAGGGAGGAGGCGGGGGAGGAUGAUGGCAGGGCGUCGGGGUGUUUCUGAGGAUAUGCAGGUGCAUAGCGAACGUGACAGAAAGGUACGCAGCCCGAAAACAGACAGAAUGCGGAAUGAAACACGGGGAGAAAAGAUAAAGAGGAAUAAGGAAAUCAUUGAGCGUGACUCGUAAGUGGGAGUCGCGGGGCUCGGCAUAAAUCGUCGUAGAUUACGGAGACUGUGGAGAUCUUUUGACUUGUGUUCCUCCUCUUCCUGCCUUCUGUUUGACAUAAGAGUGAAUGAGGUAAUCCACUGUGCUCAGGGGUACACAGGCUCUGCUCCCAUCCGGGCUUUGAACCUUUUGCUCACCUCAUGCUCGGUCUCUGGUGUGUCGUGGUAUAGUGGAGCAUGUCAGACAAAGAAAUUAAAGAUGGCAGUUUACAGGGAAACACUCGGCUCUUUGGGUAACGCGUCUCUAAGAAGAACCUGACAAAUUGAUUUAAAAGGAUGAAAUACAUUCCCCAACCCACAAACGUUUUUUUCCCCUCACCUUUUAAAAUGUAUUUACCUCCCUGUCUGUUCCCGUUUUGGCACUUUGGGAACAAGUGCAUACUUUGUGCACUUUUGUGCCUGUUUGCUUGGUUGCAUUUAUGUUCUCAUUCAUUUUUCAUACUCUUAAUAGCACUUCCUUGCAGCUAUUGCUAUCAAUCUGGGGGGUUGUUUGCAUGUGAGAUUAUAUACGUGAGUGCAUACGAUAUGUGUGUGUUUUGAAAGUGCUCUGCUCAACUGUUCUUUUGUUGAUCACAGCUGUCCCACAUUAGGGAUCAGCUGCUAUUCCCCAGGCAGUAAAGGGUUUUCAGAGGCCCUGCUAAUUGGCUGUAAUCUCCUUUUUAAACUUGAAAGCCAGCGAGCCUCCAGCUUCGCAGUUUACAAGCAAUUAAUGCAAGGAACACCAAUAUUGCUGGUCACGACUGGUGUAUAUCUGUUCCCUCUUCCUGCGGCUCCCUCCUAUCUGAUCUCACGUCCGUCUCAGAGGCGAAUUGACUCCUCCUGCUUCUCGGGCCCUGGUGUAAACAGCUACUCAGUAGUUGGGCCUUCUGGGGAAGAGGCGCGGCGGAGGGAUUUGGUCUGAGUCUUGAAGUGUCCGUGGGGAUGAUGGCAGGGUUUGGGGAUCGGAAGGGUUCCUUCUUAGGCGCUGAUGAAAUAAUAAUGCAUGGAGUUGGCGAGGCUGAAAUUUGCACAUGAAAAUCCUCUCCCUUCGCGCUCCUUGCAUCUAAUGUGCCGCCGAUGACAAUCCCUGCCUCUCACAGUUUAUAUGCAAAUGAGUUCUCUCAGCUUCCUCCUCCUCCUCAGAGAGUCGCCCAGCCGAGCUAGUGAGAGCCAGAUAGACAGAGAUAUAAAGUGAAGGAGACAGAGUGGGGCUUUUUUGUUGUGUUUUGUUUGUGUUUGUCUUGUUUAUUUUUAAAAGGAUUUUAAAAGAUGAUAAUAUAUUUUAAUUUUUCCCUUUGUUUUUUUCAAUUUUUUUCCCCUGAAAGGCAAU